rnacentral:tRNA from 1 species
GGGGGUUAUAGUUUAAUCUCCUAGAAUAUUGCUUUUGUAAAGCG